ACCCACGGGCACAGCCAAGUUCGGAGGUAGUGGCAACUUCUCAUCGUCUCCAUCCUGGCUGUGCUGGGUGGUCAUGGAGGGUUGUCAGUGAUUCCCUCUUCCCCAGCUGUAAAUAAAAAUUUCCCUUCAGAUUAUUAAGCUCUCCCAAGGAAAACACCGGCGCGUACACCUCUGGUCAGGUAGGACUGUGCGCAGGCAGCAGUACCUUUGCUUUGCUCCCAAUUCAAUUAAUGAGCAUCCCAUGAAUAAAUGGGAAUAAAGGGGGCAGUGGUGGAUCUCUCUGAUGCUGGUGGGCUUUGUUUUUUUUCAUUCAGGCUGCAUGCAGUCCUGGGAUUUUUUUUUUUUUGAGGUGAUGCCUGGGUGUGCUUUGGAGCCACGUUUUGCCGGAAAGCUGCUCCGAAGCUCUGCCCAAGGGUCAGCAUUUGCAAAGGCACCAGUGAAGGGGCUCAAUUGCAGGUCCAGGAGCUGUCCUGCCUUCCUCUAUCCUCUGUUACGUCAAAUCUAAAAUCAGGGUGAAGAUCUGGAGAACAGAUCAACCAAGCAGAGCAACAAACACUGGGCAGUGGGCAAGAAUGGAGUAAAAACAACCAGCCUCUUGUGUUGGAACUUAGAAAAGCAUUUUAUAUGCUGCCACCUCCGCUACGUGCAUCCAGCACCGGGGCUCCCAUGUAUUUAAUUUGGCUCCCAUGCAUCAGCCAAAAAUAAGCAACUGUGCUGCUGCUGGGAGGAAACACACUGGUUAUUCAAGAAGCUCAUAAAAGUAUCUUUUUAAGUAGGCAUCAAGGUGUCCAGAAGAAAGGUCCACAAAAUGUCCAUCAGGGGUUUCAUCCAUGCGUCCAAAAGAAAUGAUCUUCUCAAUGACUGAUGUUUUUUCACAUGCCAGGAUUCCACUUUGCUACCCGUUACAUAAUGUGGAUCAGAUUUUGAGGCAGUGCAAUAAUAUGAAGGUUGCCCACUUGACAACAGAUGCUUUUCCUGUUGGCUUUGAAACCCACUCACUGCAAUUAGAAAGGCCUGAGUUUUUUAUAACCUUAAGGCAGGACAUGCAAUCUAUAAAUGCUGCCAUUCCUUGGGACCUUUGUUGCUGCUCUUGGAGUGUAACACCCGUUAGCAUUAAUGGCCGUUCUGUAUACAUAUGAACUACAGAAAAAGCCUGAAUAAAAGUUGGGCAUGCUGCUGUAAUGGGUUGUGAGACCCAUUUAAUGUAUUCAAUACUUGAAGGUUUUAUUCUUACAAAUUAGAGUAGGAAACCCAACGGCUGGAACCAAAGAGUGGAGAUGUGCUGCUGCUGGCUUUGGCAUUCAGGCUGGACAUGAGGAAGAAAUUUUUGACACUGAGGGUGGUGAGACACUGGCCCAGGUUGCCUAGAGAGGUUGUGGAUGCCCCAUCCCUGGAGACAUCCCAGGCCAGGCUGGACGGAGCUCUGAGCAACCUGAGCUGCGUGAAUAUGUCCCUGCUCAUGGCAGGGGGUUGAACUGGAUGAGCUUUGAAGGUCCUUUCCAACCCAAACCACUCUAUGAUUCUCUGACUGUAAUUGUGGGGGAUAGGCUGGGCUUGUGGUGAAGCAUCACAUGCAUGUGGCCAGUACAUGUAUAUUUGUGCUUAGGCCUGCUGGCACACAACCGGCUAUAUACAGGUCCUAUUUAUGGCUUCCUCCUCCACAGGUCAUCUCUUGCAUGGUCUCUUUGCAAAGCCAUACAUAGGAACAUCUUCACAAGAACUCAUGCCAUUAAAUCUGUUCAGUUUAUGCCGCUGUGCUUUAAAACAGCUAAAGGAGAUGAAGGUCUGAAAUUUAAGGCCAGGGAUUUCAUGUAAUCAAGGAGUGAUUUUAGUGAAGCAAGGUAGGACAAGAGGGAGAGGAUGUUACUGCAGGACUGUGUAGAGCCCCCAUGUCACAACAUCACCACCAAGUGCAAUUGCAGUGUCCCUGCCUUGUGCUUUGGGGACUGUGCUUUUCAAAUGAAGAUGUUCCUUCAUUCUUGAGUCUUGGAUUUGGCUAUGGCAGAGGCAUUAGUAGUGGACAGGCACAGUCCCAAGAGCCAGCUAGCCCAGGUAGGCAGAGGGUAGCCCAUUGAUGGUCUGCUUACUGUCUGCCGUGUGGGGGUAACCCCAAAAUAAAGGGACCAGAGCCUGAAACUGCAGGUAUCCAUGAACCAACAUAUCAGAGAGUGUCCAAGAGUGGUGCAUUAGCACCAGUGCCUCCUUGGCUCCAAACCUGACAGCGCCCAACUUCUCAGGACCUGGUGCUUUACCAACAUACAACAGCAGCAAUGACCAGACCAAAUCUUACCCACAAGACAUUCACAUCUGGUAAGAAAUGGAGAUGAUGAUACCCCGAAAAGAUGCAGAGCAGGGACACACAAGGUAUCAGAGAACUGGGAACUGAUCACGGACAGUUACCUUAAAGAACCAACACAAACUCUAGGAGAAAUUGCUAAAAUGUUGUAUUAUUGUUGUAACUCCUCUUUUUCUUACAGAAAUAUUUGUCUCCUACACUGUCAGAGUGGAGGUUUGAGCGUAGGCAUCCCUAAACCCUCCAGCUCCUUACCCUACAUGAGAUAGUUCAAAGCAUGGAAGACGAUGCGCUGAGGAGAUGCAGUUCUACAUAUGCUUGUUAGGAAGCACGACAUCUUGAAUGACAGAAAACGUCACUUAAGUGCAAACCACCAACAUUAUCGGGAUGUGCAGUCGUGGGAAGGGUGAGAGCUCUUGCAAGUGAGCACAAUUGCUACCGGAGUACCCUUGGAAAAGACAAAACGGAAAGAUGAGAGGGAUGCAGUGGUUCAUAAUUUAUUUUUUUGGAGAGCAAAAAGGCAGUGCUACACUGA